GAUCAUGGCUCAGGAUGAACGCUAGCUACAGGCUUAACACAUGCAAGUCGAGGGGAAACGGCAUUGAGUGCUUGCACUCUUUGGACGUCGACCGGCGCACGGGUGAGUAACGCGUAUCCAACCUUCCCAUUACUGUGGGAUAACCUGCCGAAAGGCAGACUAAUACCGCAUAGUCUUCGAUGACGGCAUCAGAUUUGAAGUAAAGAUUUAUCGGUAAUGGAUGGGGAUGCGU
rnacentral:rRNA from 1 species